rnacentral:rRNA from 1 species
GGCGGUCCCGCCGCAGCUUCCAUCGCGUAGUAGCUAACACCUCGCGACUGGAGAGCGGCGCGGCCACGCCGUAAAACACCCAACUCUUCUGAAGUUGACCUCGAAUCAGGUAGGAAUACCCGCUGAACUUAAGCAUAUCAAUAAGCGGAGGAAAAGAAACCAACAGGGAUUGCCCCAGUAACGGCGAGUGAAGCGGCAACAGCUCAAAUUUGAAAUCUGGCUCUCGGGCCCGAGUUGUAAUUUGUAGAGGAUGCUUUUGGUGAGGUGCCUUCCGAGUUCCCUGGAACGGGACGCCAUAGAGGGUGAGAGCCCCGUCUGGUUGGACGCCGAACCUCUGUAAAGCUCCUUCGACGAGUCGAGUAGUUUGGGAAUGCUGCUCUAAAUGGGAGGUAUAUGUCUUCUAAAGCUAAAUACCGGCCAGAGACCGAUAGCGCACAAGUAGAGUGAUCGAAAGAUGAAAAGAACUUUGAAAAGAGAGUUAAACAGUACGUGAAAUUGUUGAAAGGGAAGCGCUUGUGACCAGACUUGGGCUUGGUUGAUCAUCCGGGGUUCUCCCCGGUGCACUCUUCCGGCCCAGGCCAGCAUCAGUUCGCCCUGGGGGACAAAGGCUUCGGGAA